GCAAGUCGAGCGCAGUCCUUCGGGACCGAGCGGCGGACGGGUUAGUAACGCGUGGGAACAUACCCUUUUCUACGGAAUAGCCUCGGGAAACUGAGAGUAAUACCAUAUACGCCCUUCGGGGGAAAGAUUUAUCGGUGAAGGAUUGGCCCGCGUUUGAUUAGAUAGUUGGUGGGGUAAUGGCCUACCAAGACUGUGAUCAAUAGCUGAUUUGAGAGGAUGAUC
rnacentral:rRNA from 1 species